GGGGGCGAACUGGAUUCGACGGGAAAGCAGAGGCUGUAGUAGCACGUCGAGGUGACACCCUCGUUAAACAGGUCAAACACUAGUAGCUGGCACAACCAACUACGCCCUCGCAGCUUAAUAAGCCUGCGACGUUUCCCAGGUAGCCCGCCCGAGGCGACCUGAAGAAACGCCAUUAAUUCGGGAUAGCCGGUCGCCCGCGCCUGGAAGCGACCGGUGAAAUUUACAGGCUGGCCACAAGCUCUCUUGCCGUUCAGCGGGCAUGUGGUGAGAAAAACAAUGAGUCGGCUAAACGUGUAGAAGCUGUAGUACGAACUUUUUCGGACGCGGGUUCGAUUCCCGCCGCCUCCACCA
rnacentral:tmRNA from 1 species